rnacentral:lncRNA from 10 species
CUUCUAAGUAUAGUGACAGUGCAUCAGGCUUUCCUAGUCUCAGCGCAAGCUCAGUGAAAAUCUGGGAAAUGUAAGUGGAAACAUGAGAGACCGCUUUAUUUGGCAGUGCUUACCCCCCCUCAAAAAAAAAAAAGUGGGGGGCAGGACAAAUGGCUAAGCAGUGUUUGGACCGCAGGAUGAACAAUCAAUAGGCAGAAAGCAAGAUUGAGGCUUCCUCAGCUUUUGGAUCGACAAUCGACAGCUGAGAGGCUAUUUUUUGCUAUGGUUGACUAAAUAUGGUCAGGGAAGAGAGAGGCACAAGAGAGCCUGUUUGCCUGGGAGUGCAUGUUUCAAAUGCUUAGCUGCCUAUAAAGCUGUAACAGUUUAGCCAGUGGUCACUGAGGAAGAAUAUAAGUUAGCCUCGUAGUGACCAUGUGGAAGUCCUGACCUCGCUUGCAGACUUGACCUCUGGAUGUGACAAGGUGAGGUUCUGUGUUCACUGAUACAUCCCCUUCCUUCACCGGGCUCAUGAAAAGAAAUGCUGAAUCAGCAAAUAGAGUGAACGAACAAUCAAGAUGAGAUGGCUGCUGUUGAUGUGAUUCUCUAGGUUACUACCUUUCUUCCUGCUGCAAAUGCUGCAUGACACUAAGCUUACAGGAUCUAGAAGCAGACUACAAAAAAAGAAGAAAUUCACUCUGAAGACUGAAGAAACACUAGGCUGAUCUUAAGUUUCCGAAAUACACUCUGUAACACUACACUGAUUCUUUGAAUCUCUUGCAAAAAGAAUCAAACCAGGACAAAGUUCAACAGAUAACUGGUCAAAUGCUUAGGAAUGUCUAUGUCCACCAAGAAUAUGGAACCAUUAAUGCCAUGCUUCAGGUAAACUUGUUACAAAAUUUAGUCUUCGAUAAAUUAGUCUCUGCAAAUGAUUUACCAUUGCUCUACAUUAGUAAGCUGAAUGUUUCACUAACAAAUAAGAAAAUAAAAUAUUUCAUGUUUUUACAGCUAACAACUUAGUAAUACCUACUCAGAGUACAUACUUCUUUAUGUACCCAUAUGAACAUACAAUGCUAUGGAAUGUAAAGAAGUAUGUAUUUUUGGUAGGCAAUAAACCACCAAGGGAGAAUUAAACUGAGCUAAAAGAAGCUCUUGCUUCUUUCUACGUGAAUGACCGUCAUAUGGUAAAUUAACCUAGUCAUGAACAGAUGACCUUUGGCAAUACUAACACCAAAAAAAAAAGGUUAUCUACUACUGAUAGAUAGAAACUAUCCCUAAGGUUUUUAUUUCAUGAAGGAAAAGAAGAUCCAGUGAAGUAGAUUUCAAUUAUCAUGAAACUCCUUUUAAAUCAUCUAAGUUUAAAACAGACAUCUUACAUUUUUAAAUUAGGCACUCUCAUUAUUAAAAUUUGACUGCAAAAGGGAAAAUAGUAUUACUAGCACAAAAGAAUGAGGAAUACACAUGACCUAUUUUCUGUCUCCACAAUUUAAUCUUAAGUAUAUCUCAUUAGUAGGGCUCACUGAUUUGUACAGAAAAAUAAGAUACUAAGAGCUGGCUUCAUUCACAUAAUAAGCUAUUUCUUCUCAUUUUGAUAAAUGUAUAAUUAAUAUUAGAGGAAUUUCUGACCAAAAGUUUUGUUGUUUUAAAAAGGCUUUCUUUUUUGACAGCUACAAACAUAGUGGCCCUUGUCCUUCCUUCUCAAGUUUAUCAGGGUCUUAACCCAAAUCUCUACUUUAAAUGUGAAGUUAAAACUUAAAAUUAAUUAAAAUGUAAGAUUUAAGCAUGAAAAAUGACAAAAUUCUGGUCCACAGCUGUAAGUCAGCAGGGUAUAUUGGUAACAGACUACCAAAUAUUUAAAAGAAAUUAAUUUAUCUGUAUUAUCUUCGAAUUUGCUUUCUCCAAAGAGGGCAUGUAAAAUGAAAGCACUAUAGUCAAGAACCAAUUUAUACAGAUCGAAGAACUGUUUUUAUUGUACUAUGCAAUUACAAUUCAAUUUCUCUAAACUUGAUCAAUCCAUUGUUUAGAAAUAUCAAAAUACUUUUAUUUCACACAGUUUGUAUAUUAUUUAUAAAAAAUUCCAAAUAAUGCUCUUAGCAAAAUUUAUAAGCAGUACCUGUUUUAAGCUACUAAUGACAAAGUUAGAAAAUAAGAGUAAUAUUCACAUAUUCUAACCAUUUCUUACUAAAAGUAUUAUUUCAACUGAAAUAUUUACACAUGUAUAAAAGCAUAAUAUUUUAAAUUUUUUGUAUCAGAAAUUGAAUGGAAAUGACUAAGUUUAACUAUAGUUCAUUUUCUGUUUAAUAAGACUAGUUAAUACAAAGAUGAUUUUCAUUUUAUCAGAUUAUAAAGAAUGAGAAUGACUUACACAUGGCAUCAUAUGUGUUACUGCAUGUUUACUGGAAAUUAUAAAAGGCACAUAAUUUUAAAAUUCUACACUUUCAAAGAAAUUAGUUCAAAGCUUAACUCACAUAAGCAUAGCCCUUCUGAUCAUCCACAAAACAGAAUGGCAAUGAUUCAUGUUCUAUUUGGUAAGUUUACCUGUAUAGGUCCUAAAUACCAAGAACUCAAAAUAUAUACCUCAAAAGUAGAGGUUCUUCUAUAAAAAUACUCAAAGCUUAUUACUCUACUUGUGUUUUAUAAUAAACAGUUAUAUUGGUCAUUCUAUAGGUAUACAAGUUGUUUAAUAAUCCUUCUCAAACAUCCUAGCAACUAAGACUCUCUUUGCUAUAAUAUUAAGACUAUAUAAAUAAUCCUUAGAAAAUAAAAUGACAGGCUAUUCAUUUUUAAAAGUAAAAUUAUAUGCUGAUUCUGGUGCUUGCGAGUUUAACUUAUCUAAGAGUAUUUUCAAUCACUCUAAAAUGUCACAUCUAUCACUUAGAUCAGCUGUUCAUUUUUAACUGAGUACAUAUUAAACUCUGGGCAUCUGCUGACACUGGUAUAACUCAAACAUUUCAACUGUCUCCCUGACAGGGAUAACAGAUGCUGACAUUAUCAAAUGCUGUACUAUUUUUUUCCCAUGGCCUCUCCUUGCCCCGAUAUGGCCAGUAUAUGAAACUGAACUGCCAUCCAAAAACACACUUGAGCAACUGGAUCUGCUAAACAGCUCCCAUAUAACUAGUAAAAAUAGAAGCCAGUAUUAUUGCUAUCUUCAGCACUUAAGUUUAGGCAGUUUAACACCUGUUUCACUUCUACUAGAAAAAAUGAUGAAAAAGAAUUGUAGUUAAUUUCACCAGCAGUAUGAUACUUACCAACCAACAGACGCAGAAUAUACUUAGUGUAAGAGUCAUUUGCAUACUGCCUGAAUUAGCGUUGACCUCUCAGUUUAAAAUAGUAACUGUAAAGAAUAUUUCUCUACUCUAUAUUUCUCUGAGAGCACUUAACUUUAUAGGCAAAUUAUAAUUUAUCAAACUUUUAUUUUAUGCAAGAAGACACCCCUCUCAAGACAUUGAAAUCAACAGUAAAACCACAUUAUAACAAAAAUUUACUCUGAUUUUUCAAGUAUUAUCCACACAAUAGAUUUUAAUACUUGUAUCCAUGGAUUGUAACUAACCACCAUGUAUUACUAAGGCGAUAAUGAGAAGUAACUUGGCAAUCUGUACCCAAAAUGACAAAGAACUUAGUCAAGGAAAUAGACCUUUAAAAGGGUUAAAUUACUAAGCUAUGAUUAGUAACACCACGUAAGCAAAAACAAAGAAAAACUGGCAUGCAUGGUAGUUCCUUUCGACACAAGUCCAAGCAAUACACUGAAUACACAUGUGAUCUAUUUAUAAAUCAAAGGGCAGAGGUACUUUCUUAAGGCCACUGAUAUUCCUACACCCAUCAACAAUUUGCUAUUAGCCCUCAACUAUAAUGCUAAAAGAAGCAGUGGCAGUAGAAGGGGGUGACUAACUGAACUCUUCCCCAACCUUUUAGCUUAACUAUUUAUCUGGUUUGCUGCCUAGAGAUAAAUGGAAAACAUUACUCUAAAAUACAUCAAGGUCUAUUUGUUCCUUUAAAUACUAUUGGUUUUGAAAUAGCUUAUUGUCUACAUGUAAGAAUUAAGCAAAGACUUCGGCUGUGGACAAGAUUAGAAAAAGAAAAAGAAGCAAAGAUGUUGAAAACAAAGACGUACAUUGAUCAUUCCUUAAUGCAGUAAUGUGUUAAAAGGAAAAGAUUUUUAAACCAUUAAGCGCAGGAAAACAGUAGGAAAGUGACUUCAAAAUGGAAAAUUUGACAUUCAGUGACUGAAGCAUUGGUAUGAUAAUUUCUAACACUUGUAGAAGGUCCAUGACUGUAAUUUUACCAAUGAAAAGCAUUUAACUGUUUUGGAUUCCAAACUAGCAGCACUACAAUGCUUUGCUAGAGCUGGUAAAAUGGAACCAAAUCGCCUCUUCAAUGGAUUUGGUCCCCUUCAACCAGCUGUAGCUAUGCAUUGAUUACUACGGGACAACCAACGUUUUCAUUUGUGAAUAUCAAUUACUUGCCAACUAAUUUCAACUUAUUUACAUUAUGCAGACUGUGAUUAUAAUCAAAUAACUUGUUACUGUUAAUUCUACCUGGAAAAGCUAGAAUGGUUAAAGAUGUUUAUAAAAAGCUUUAUGAAAAAUGUAUGGAUGACUUAAGGAUUUCAAAUAAAAAUUUUACUUAUUAUGGUCUCUUGGUAUUAAAUUUCUUAUCCUUCAGAAAAGAAAAGAACUGGUAAUAAAAUGUAGGCUAUGCUUCAUAAUAACAACAACAACAAAAACUUCCUUCAAAGGAAGAAAAUAUCUGGAAAGGUCACCUAAAACCCACCUGAACACAUAAUGGGAUUGUACAGUGUGGUUUACAUGGAUGUGUGCAUAUUUAAAUUAAAGAAAACUGUAACAUUAUAUAACACUCUAGAAAUGUUUAGUCACUAUCUUCCAUAGUAUUGGCCUUUAAUUUUACCGCUAUUUACCUGAAUGUUAGCAGGUAAGGUGAAAAAGAUGAUAACUGUAGAAUAUCUUGUGGAGAGGCUUAAAACAGUUAUCUAGUUCUUCUGACCCUGAAUCAAAGGUUUUUAGUCUUCAAAAAAGAAAGAAAAUGCUAAGCAUCACUACUUUUACUCAUGAAAUAUUUCACCUCUCCAUAUUUGUUUUCACAGCUGUAAAAUGAAGAACUCUGCUAACAAUAAAUACUAUG